rnacentral:tRNA from 1 species
CAGGAUGUAGCUAAGCUAGUAAAGUAUCUCCCUUACACUGAGAAGCCGCCCGUGCAAGUCGGGCCAUCUUGA